AGUUCCCUGCAGUGCAGGUGAUGGUUUGGAGGGUCGUUUGAGCCAUUGUUGUAUUGAAGCGAGUCACGAAGCUUUGCUGUGAGCAUGCCUCUGAGCGAGGAAGCCUAGAGGCGGAGCUAAACACAGUGACUCCACCUGCUAAAGCAGGUUCAUACGACCUCCCCACACGGCAAUCGCGGGGUUUUU
rnacentral:other from 1 species